UACUACCAGCUGUUUCAAAAAUAUAAAAUCUAUCUACUUGAUGCACCACUGAAUUUGGUGUUUAUAUUCCGUACUUAUUUAAUAUGACUCUUGCUUAAUCAUUCCGGUUGCUAGUUAUCUUAAAUAAUGUCACCAAAAGCUUAGAAUUUAGACCUACAUUCUUCAAGAUAUUACUACAAAACUUUCGAAGCAGUCUUCAAAUUUUUUUUUAUUUAAUAAUGAAUUACGAUUGCUUUAUUGGGAGGUAGUGUUUUAGGCUUGAUAAUUCGGUAUAUUACUCUCUUUUAGUAGUUUAAUCAAGGCUAUAUGAGGCAUACAGAAUAAAAUAUGCGU